GAUGGCAGGUUCGCGAGGGGCGGGGCCCGGUGCGUCGGGGGCACGGCCGUGACGUCACUCCCGCGGGCUCCGGGAGGACGCGGACAUGGCGGCCAGUGGCUUUUCCGGCCUCGCGCAGGGCGCCGGCCCGUCGUCCAGCACCCAGCCAUCCUCGGCUUUUCCUGUCCCGGCUGCUGGGCCCAGCUAUGCCAUGAAAUCUACCCCUGGAACAGAGAGCACCACCAGCCGGGCCCUGGCCCCUGCCACCCAGCCGCACGCCAACCAGGACUCCGCGUCCAGCAGCCGGCCCCCAGGUCCUAUCCCUGUGGCUGCGGCUGCGUCUACCCACCAGCAGGGUGGUCACAGCUACCGAGAGUCAAAGGUGCCCAGGAACUGCGAGGACACAGCAGAGCAGCCAGCUGCAGCCUCUCUCUGCCGACCAGGCCCAAGCACCCACAGCUCAGACCGCCCACUGAAGUCCCAGCGGGUCCUGCAGAAGCAACAGACAUCCCCAAUGGCUCCUGUGGGCUCGGACCCUUGGGGUGGCCCAGGCCUCGGGCCCUGGGACCCCAGCUUUACCAGCGACGCACUGCCAUUCCUGGACAGGCUGCCGAAGCCCAAGGCGGGCCCCCGGCCACCCUCCGUGCACUACUGUGAGGUCUGCAGGGUCAGCUGCGCCGGGCCGCAGACCUAUCGGGAUCACCUGGAAGGACAGAAGCACAGGAAGAAGCAGGCAGCUCAGAGGACAGGCACACAGCCCAGCGGAGGUCCGCGAGGGGCCCAGAGCCUGCACUGUGGCCUCUGUGCUGUGUCCUGCACCGGGGCGGAUGCCUAUGCAGCUCACAUGAGAGGAGCCAGGCACCAGAAGGUCUUCAAGUUGCACACCAGGCUAGGGAAGCCCAUUCCCUCUGAGCCCACGCCUCAGAGUGUCACCUACACCAGAGGCUCGGACAGCACCCCUGAAACCUCAGUCAAGCAGGAAGCUCACAGCAGUUACAGCUCACACACCUCAGGCCGGCCAGCACCAGCCAAAGGAUCAACAGCCUCACGCAAGGGGCCACCUGAACUGCAGACAGCACACAGCCGACCCGGAGAAAGGAGACCACCACACCCCAAGGCAGAGGCCACCAGGGGAGGGCCUGGGGAAGCUCCAGGGACCUAUGGGGACAUCGAGCCAGUGGGCACAGAGUAUGUGGAGGAGGUGCGCAGCGAGGAGGGGAAGGUGAUCCGCUUCCGAUGCAAGCUCUGCGAGUGCAGCUUCAAUGACCGCAAUGCCAGGGAUAUGCACCUGACCGGACGGCGGCAUCGGCUGCAGUACCGGAAGAAAGUGGACCCGACACUUGCGGUGGCCGCCCGGCCCAGCGGCCCCAUGCAGAGGGUGCUGGUCAAGAGGCUGCAGUGGCAGCGGCAGCUGGCACAGACAAGACUAGAGGAUGCACAGCGCUGGAGCUCUGAACUAAGACAGCAGGAAGGACAGAACAGGGAGCUUGAGGAGCUCUCCCAGCCCCAGAUUGAAGAGCAGUCACCCAAGUCACCCGCCUGGGCCCUGCCAGCUCCCAUUGCCAAGCCAGGAAUGGCCACCACCCGGCGCCAGUCGGGGCGCCGGCCAGAGAGCAGUGACGAUCGGCAUGUCAUGAGCAAGCAUGCCUCCAUCUACCCCACCGAGGAGGAGCUGCAGGCCAUCCAGACAGCUGUGUCCCACACAGAACGAGCCCUCAGACUGGUGUCGGACACACUGGCUGAGGAGAGCAGCCAGCAUGGCACCCUGGCGCCUCCACCACCGCGGAUGCUCAAGGGUGUGGUUCGGGUCGGCAUCCUGGCCAAGGGCCUGGUCUUGCGCGGGGACCACAGUGUGCAGCUGACCCUGCUGUGCUCCAAGAAGCCCACGCACUCCCUGCUGCAGAGGAUCAAGCAAGAGCUGCCCAGAGAGCUGUCGAUAGUGGCAGAAGACAAGUACGAGGUCUCAUCUGACCGCAACGCCAACAUCAUUAUCUCAGCCUGCGUGGAGCCGGGGGUGAAGGUCACUGUGUCCGCCACCUCACCUCUGAUGCGCGAAGACCCCUCCGUAAAACGAGGACUUCAAGACUCUCUGCCUGACCCAGAGGAUGUCCUGGACAGGGAGCAGUGCCUUGAGACCCUGGCUGCCCUCCGUCAUGCCAAGUGGUUCCAGGCUCGAGCCAGUGGCCUGCAGCCGUGUGUGAUUGUCAUCAGAGUUCUGCGGGAGCUGUGUCGCUGCCUGCCCCCAUGGGGGGCCCUGCCCGCCUGGGCCAUGGAGCUGCUGGUGGAGAAGGUUCUGAGCAGCGCACCCCGGCCCUUGAGCCCAGGGGAUGCCAUGCGGCGGGUCCUGGAGUACGUGGCCACAGGUGCGCUCCUGACAGAUGGCCCGGGGCUGCAGGACCCCUGUGAGAAAGGCCCACAGGAUGCCCUGGAGCCCAUGACCCCACAACAGCGGGAAGACCUGACGGCCAGUGCUCAGUCCAGAUGGAGUCCUGUUUGGGCUGUGCAGCUCCCUGAAGCCUCGAAGAGCCGCAGCAACUGACCGGCCCGCCCAGGUCCUGUCCCCGCGGGGCAGGGGACCCUGCAGCAGGCCGGCCGAGGGUCAGGGGCACAAGGCUGGACCCCAGACAAGGCAGGAAACCGAGCGCCAGGGUAUUGAGGGAGAGCUGGACCCGGGCUGCGGAUGCAGGGGAGCGUUGCUAGGAGACAAGUGCUGGGGUGACAGGCCUGUGACCACAGUGUGCCACCAGCCCCAGGCCUGUCUUCUGCAUCUUUGCCAGCUGUAAGUACCAGAGAAAACAUCUGGACAAAGUCCAUUUGGCAAAGCAACCAGGGAGGUGGUCAAGGCCAGCAGCUCACAGCACUACGACCUCCAUGCUGCAGCCACGGCCCCUCAGCCUGGGCCUCCACUCCCCGCUGCGCUGUGAGCCUGGCGCUUGCACACACAUACAGGUACUUUCAGAAAGGCCAAGCUCCUCCUGCUGUGGGGGUGCUCCAGCCUCUGGCUCCAGCCUGUAAGGCCUCAGCACCGCAUGAAUGGAACCUGUGCAGGAUGGGUCAGAUCUGAUCAGAAAGCAGCCGGUUACCGCAUAAGCUCGGGCCACGGCAGCACCAGUGGGUAUCUACUGCAGCGUGGGAGCUGCGUGACAACGGCAGUAGGAAGGAAGCCUCUGGGUCAGUUCCUGUGACUCAGACGUGUGGUAUCUUCAGCAAUGAGGGUCACCCAAGAGCAGAAGUUGGUUUGCAGUCGCUGGUCCUCCCUGGCCCGUGACUCCCAGGUGGGCACCCACACCUGGCUGGAGACCUGUGGCUGUGGUCUCACAGCCAUCCGUGAGGGCACGUUUGUCCAGACUUGUCCGCUACUUCUGAGCCGCCCCCAACCCACCCCUGCUGUCUUUAAUUAGUUAAAUAGGUUUAUUUUAUUUUAUUCGGCUUUUGUUUGUUUGGUGUUUUUUGUUCUUUGGGUUUUUUUUUUUUUUCCAGUCAAGGUCUCACGUAGUUCU